GCUGGAGGACACAUGAUGGUACAGUGAGGAGAUUGAGAGAGGUCUGAUAUAUAUUCGAUUUCAGAUGGAAUCUUAUCUCACUGAGCAGACUGGAUUCGAGAGGCUACAGGACGGUAACUGAUUCGCGGUGAUAGGAUUGUUCUGAAGGAGAAGAAGAUGAGAGGACAUUAUUAUUUGAUGGAGAGCCCAGUGCGAGGUGGAGCUUCAAGAGUCAGGAGGAGUUCAGAGCAAGGUGGAGCUCCAGAUGAAGGUGGAUCA
rnacentral:lncRNA from 1 species